rnacentral:SRP_RNA from 3 species
CAAAGUUUUGUUAUAUAAUAUACCGUGUUCGGACAGAGCCGGUAUAUAGGUGCGCUGUUCGGCAUACGGAUGCGGGUCCUGUGCGACGGGGCUCCAUGAACCAUGUCAGGCGGGGAACCGAGCAGCAUUAAGUGGCCCGCCCUGUGCGCCGCAGAUCGCCUGCAUCCGUAUGCCGAGCCACGCACCCGCAUCCGCGGGCGCUGUCCGUUUUUUG